rnacentral:rRNA from 1 species
UAGGGAAUCUUCCGCAAUGGGCGAAAGCCUGACGGAGCAACGCCGCGUGAGUGAUGAAGGUCUUCGGAUCGUAAAACUCUGUUAUUAGGGAUGAACAAAUGUGUAAGUAACUAUGCACGUCUUGACGGUACCUAAUCAGAAAGCCACGGCUAACUACGUGCCAGCAGCCGCGGUAAUACGUAGGUGGCAAGCGUUAUCCGGAAUUAUUGGGCGUAAAGCGCGCGUAGGCGGUUUUUUAAGUCUGAUGUGAAAGCCCACGGCUCAACCGUGGAGGGUCAUUGGAACCUGGAAAACUUGAGUGCGGAAGAGGAAAGUGGAAUUCCAUGUGUAGCAGUGAAAUGCGCAGAGAUAUGGAGGAACACCAGUGGCGAAGGCGACUUUCUGGUCUGUAACUGACGCUGAUGUGCGAAAGCGUGGGGAUCAAACAGG